rnacentral:pre_miRNA from 1 species
AUCACCUGGGGACCUAGUUAAAAUGAAAAUUCUGAUUCAGUAGGUCUGUGGUGUGGCCAAUAAUUUGCAUUUCUAGCAAGCUCUCAAGUGAUGCCAA